rnacentral:rRNA from 1 species
CCUACGGGAGGCUGCAGUGGGGGAUAUUGCACAAUGGGGGAAACCCUGAUGCAGCGACGCCGCGUGUGGGAAGACGGUCCUCUGGAUUGUAAACCACUUUCCCCAGGGACGAAGAUGACGGUACCUGGGGAGGAAGCUCCGGCUAACUACGUGCCAGCAGCCGCGGUAAUACGUAGGGAGCGAGCGUUGUCCGGAAUUACUGGGGGUAAGGGGAGCGUAGGCGGGACUGCAAGUUGGGUGUCAAAUCUACCGGCUCAACCGGUAGCCGCACUCAAAACUGCAGUUCUUGAGUGAAGUAGAGGCAGGCGGAAUUCCUAGUGUAGCGGUGAAAUGCGUAGAUAUUAGGAGGAACACCAGUGGCGAAGGCGGCCUGCUGGGCUUUUACUGACGCUGAGGCUCGAAAGUGUGGGGAGCAAACAGGAUUAGAUACCCGUGUAGUC